AUGAACGCUGGCGGCGUGCCUAAUACCUGCAAGUCGCGCGAACGGACGAGAAGCUUGCUUCUCUGAUGUUAGCGGCGGACGGGUGAGUAACACGUGGAUAACCUACCUAUAAGACUGGGAUAACUUCGGGAAACCGGAGCUAAUACCGGAUGAUAUUUUGAACCGCAUGGUUCAAAAGUGAAAGACGGUCUUGCUGCCACUUAUAGAUGGAUCCGCGCUGCAUUAGCUAGUUGGUAAGGUAACGGCUUACCAAGGCAACGAUGCAUAGCCGACCUGAGAGGGUGAUCGGCCACACUGGAACUGAGACACGGUCCAGACUCCUACGGGAGGCAGCAGUAGGGAAUCUUCCGCAAUGGGCGAAAGCCUGACGGAGCAACGCCGCGUGAGUGAUGAAGGUCUUCGGAUCGUAAAACUCUGUUAUUAGGGAAGAACAUAUGUGUAAGUAACUGUGCACAUCUUGACGGUACCUAAUCAGAAAGCCAUGGCUAACUACGU
rnacentral:rRNA from 1 species